UGUGAACAGUGGCGAUCCACGGGCAGAAACUUGGAAUUCAGAACCAAAGCCUGCUGAUUAUGUUAGUUUCACUCGGGAACUGGAGCUGUAUUAUUCGAGUGGGGAUCCAAGUUAGGACUGGAAAGCAUAAUCAGUGCACUGCAAGAGACAAGCUUACUGAGCACUGCAGGAUUACGCUACAGCUUGCUCUAGGCAAUGGACAGGAUACAAAAACUACCUGUUAUCACUGAACUUAUGCGACUCAUCCGUUCCCUCCCUCCCGGGUCCGGUGCUGGAACGCUGCUCUCCAGGGCUGCUGACAGCUGUCGCCUUGGACCUCCCGUCGCCACUGCUCUGGACCCCACUCCCUGUUUUAUGGACUCCAGCCUGACUUCCUCUGUCUCGGUUUGCCCCCGUCACUGAAGCACAUUUUCCAACUGUCAGACAAGGAGGCCUAUGAUUCCAGGAGCCACUGUGUGACCGUGACCUGCGCAGGAGAAAGGCCACAUGCUGAGGACCACACAGGGGAAAUGGCCCACAGCCCUGACGCUCUCGCAGGGAAGCUAUUUACUUC